rnacentral:rRNA from 1 species
AACGUAGGUACCGAGCGUUAUCCGGAUUUACUGGGCGUAAAGCGCGUUCAGGCGGUUUGGCAAGUCGGGCAUGAAAUCUCUCGGCUCAACCGGGAGAGGUUGUCCGAUACUUCCAGACUUGAGGGCAGUAGAGGUGGUGGAAUUCCGGGUGUAGUGGUGAAAUGCGUAGAUAUCCGGAGGAACACCAGUGGCGAAAGCGGCCACCUGGGCCAGCACUGACGCUCAUGCACGAAAGCGUGGGGAGCAAACAGG